UGCCCGAGGAGCAGCGCUCGGUGCUGCUCCUCGUCGCGGUCGAGGAUCUGUCUUAUGCCGAGGCGGCCCAGGUGCUCGGGGUACCGCUCGGCAC
rnacentral:tRNA from 3 species